rnacentral:tRNA from 1 species
GCCGAAGUGGCGGAAUGGCAGACGCGCAUGGUUCAGGACCAUGUGCCCGCGAGGGCGUGUGGGUUCAACUCCCACCUUCGGCACCA